AACGAACGCUGGCGGCAGGCUUAACACAUGCAAGUCGAACGCAUCCUUCGGGGUGAGUGGCAGACGGGUGAGUAACGCGUGGGAACGUGCCCUUCCGUUCGGGACAACCCAGGGCAACUUGGGCUAAUACCGGCUACGGGCGAGAGCAGAAAGAUUUGUCGCUGAAGGAUCGGCCCGCGUCUGAUUAGCUAGUUGGUGGGGUCAUGGCCCACCAAGGCGACGAUCAGUAGCUGGUCUGAGAGUAUGAUCAGCCACACUGGGACUGAGACACGGCCCAGAGUCCUGAGGGGGGCAGCAGUGGGGAAGAUGGGAAAAUGGGCGCAAGCCGGAGACAGCCAUGCCGGGUGAGUGAUGAAGGCCUUAGGGUUGUAAAGCUCUUUCGUCCGGGACGAUAAUGACGGUACCGGAAGAAGAAGCCCCGGCUAACUUCGUGCCAGCCGCCGCAGUAA
rnacentral:rRNA from 1 species